rnacentral:sRNA from 2 species
ACGAGCUGACGCGCCGUCCCCUCCUAAGCUGCGUCGGCCCGAUGGACAGCACUCCUCCUCCCAUGCUGUCGGUCAUUAUUGAAGCCCGGCGCCCUCUCCCGCGCCGGGCUUCUCUC